ACAUGCUUACAGCAUAGCAUUAAUGUGUUGGAUCCCAUUAGAACUCUACAGUUAAGCACGCUCAGGCUAGAGUAGUAUUGGGAUGGGUGACCGUCUCAGAAGUCCUAGUGUUUUACAUGCC
rnacentral:rRNA from 1 species